rnacentral:miRNA from 1 species
GGUGUGCAGUAGACGAU